UACAGAGGUCUCAAGCGUUGUCCGGAAUUACUGGGCGUAAAGAGCUCGUAGGUGGUUUGUCGCGUUGUCCGUGAAAACUCACAACUCAAUUGUGGGCGUGCGGGCGAUACGGGCAGACUGGAGUACUGCAGGGGAGACUGGAAUUCCUGGUGUAGCGGUGGAAUGCGCAGAUAUCAGGAGGAACACCAAUAGCGAAGGCAGCUCGCUGGGACGGUACUGACGCUGAGGUGCGAAAGCGUGGGGAGCGAACAGG
rnacentral:rRNA from 1 species